UUCAGGACUUCUCUCACUCUCAUGAUCUGGAAUGUUCAUGGCUUUCCUGCUAAAGGAUGGGAUGAACCACAAGUUCAGCCUGGUCCUGAAGGAAUGAAUUCUGUAGAUUUCAACACUGGUGCAGACAUGGCAGGUUGGUAUUGGGCGCAACAUGAUCCCGUUGGUUGGUCUUGGAUGGAAUCUCCCAUCUCCACCGAUCAGCAGCCGCAGCCAGGUCCACCUCCACCUCAGGCCCCUGAGCAGCAUGUGCAAGGUCCUUCCUCUAAAGGUCGUUUGCAUUCCUCUGUUCUCAUUGAAAUUUCCCCUCCAGCAGCCCCUGGUGCUGCUGUUGCUGAGCCCGAUCCAGCAAUGUCGUGGUGGGUGUCUGAUCCUGAACCUGAACCUGAACCUGUGCCCAAUCCCGAUCCAGCAAUGUCGUGGUGGGUGUCUGAUCCUGAACCUGAACCUGUGCCCAAUCCUGACACGGUCUUAGUUCUACAAGGUCCACCGGGUCCAAUAGCACCACCACCACCUGAGCCAAUCUACAAACCCGGGAAAGUCAUCCGUCUGUUUUCUAUCUAUGAACAUGGCAAUGAGGAGUCCGAGCUCCAUGAUUCUGGAGACCUGAUUCCCCAUCCCCCUCCCCCUCCCCCAGAGCUCUCUGAAAACAGUGGCCGUCAUGAUGACAAGUUCUUUCAAAUGGUCCUCGCUGGUGAACUUCCACCUGGUAUCAUAACCCAUAUCAGUUCCACCUAUGAGCAUGGCCACAAUGCCUGGACUGACAUUGGCUUUGAGAGGGUUCCGUCUCCCCCCAAAAAAGAGCUCCCUUCCGAAGAACAGAAUGACUCUAAAAUGAACACCAAGGUUCCUUCUGUAGAAUACUCCCAUUAGUGCUGUUAAAGUUGUGGACACCCCAGUUAAGACACCUCAACGCGUCUCCUCAGGGAUGUAAGAACCAAUGCCCUCAUGUAGAUUUACAUGUGGAAUGACUGGUGUGGACACUGGUAUUGUUCCCCUGUCAAUGUGUUCUGGCUUAAUUACUUCCUAGAUGCUUUCAAUGCUUCCUAGCUGGUGAAGGGCUCAUAUUUGGAGAUUCUGUAAUUCUGUGUUCUCUCGAUCCUAAAUAAAUGUGGUGAACUUCAGCCCUCAAGUUUCACUAAACUAAAAAUCUA